rnacentral:rRNA from 1 species
GAUGAACGUUGGCGGCGUGCCUAAUACAUGCAAGUCGAACGGAGACGGUAGCAAUACGGUCUCAGUGGCGAACGGGUGAGUAACGCGUUGGUGACCUGCCCCGAAGUGUGGAAUAACAGAUCGAAAGAGCUGCUAAUACCGCAUAAUAUCCAGAGGAUUAGAUGCCUUUGGAUUAAAGGAUUUAUUCGCUUCGGGAGGGGCCUGCGUCCCAUCAGCUAGUUGGUAAGGUAAUGGCUUACCAAGGCGAUGACGGGUAGGGGACCUGAGAGGGUGGCCCCCCACAAUGGAACUGAAACACGGUCCAUACACCUACGGGUGGCAGCAGUAGGGAAUAUUAGUAAUGGGCGAAAGCCUGAACUAGCAACGCCGCGUGUGCGAAGAAGGCCUUCGGGUUGUAAAGCACUUUUUGUAGAGGAUGAGGAAGGACGGUACGUCUCAGAAUAAGUCUCGGCUAACUACGUGCCAGCAGCCGCGGUAAACGUAGCGUG